UCUUCUCUCACAUUAUUUAUUUAAAAACGCAUCGUUAUUCGCAAACAGACGUCCGAAGAGGUUUUAAUCACGCGUAUAAAUGGGAAGUCUAUCAAGUCUCUCGCGCUCCGUGCAAAUACAGGCUAUAUUCGCUCGUGUAAAUUUGCCCUUCGCUUCGCAGAUAGACGUGAAUUACACGCCGGGCGCAUGUGUACGCACGACUUUUCGGCCAACGAAAUAGAUUGAAAAGCUCUGCUUUUUUUUCUGGUUAGCCCGCAGCAGCAAUUAUUUCUCCCGCAUUAAAAAAAGGGGGUAUAUGCCAUGUGCAAACGUGGCUAAAAGCCGUAACGCUCAUUCGGCCGGCUGUGCGGCGGGACAAAAAAAGAGGAUUAGACAGGAGAAUUGUUGCGCCGAUGCGUCGUGUAUGUGGAUUAUUAUAAACUGCUGAUGUUUUCCUAUGGACUUUGUCGCGAAAACAUCGAGGCUGACAAAUACGCGAAUAUGGGACGGCGUGUUUGAAAAAUACAUAUAGGCGUUGGUUUUUCUUCGAGUGCAGUUCGCGUUCGCGUAUUUUUCUCUCUGUGUCGAAAUUUCGCUGAAAUAUCUUUCGAGGCUUGCGCAACCGCGCAGUAGAGCCAAUAUCCGCCGAUAGUGUGCAGCGACUAGCCUAGAAAAUGUCGUGCACUUAUAACGAAGAAAGACUUAGAAGAGCUAGAGACGAAUUUAAGCAAAAAAAUAAAUCGUAUCGAGGCCAACGUACAAUACUAUUUGCGCGAUGUUUUAAAGAACCUCAACAUGCAUAUGCCAAUUUUUGGAGCACCUGAGGCUGCAGGGGCGCAAAUUCUUCCGACGUUCCCUUUUUCUGUGCAAGAGGAAUUUCAACAAUUCGAUGAGACUUAGCCCUGGAUGAAGAAAAAACAACGCAUUGAAAACUAGAAUCGCUUGGAAAAAUUUUGAAGGCCAUUAUCACGAAAGCCGUCCAAACUAACUAUUCAGCUUGCGGAAGAAAAAUUAAGGGCCAGAGAAAGCUGAAUUUCAGCAGCACCAACACCUACAAAAUAUUGACCGAUGUACUGGUGGAAAAAUUUGCUGUAAGAUUGGAAAGCAUAACAAGUUAUGCAUCACGCUGGUUUUCCGGUGCACCUGAUAGAGAGAAGGGAAAGCAAAAUCGCAGUUCUUAAAAAAAAUCAGUCGAUGAACAUUAUUUUGUUAAAAAGUUAUGUUUAUGCUUAUGUUAUCGUUUUCUACGAAGUUUUAAGGUUAUUUAAACCAUAUAUGUAAACAUGAUUAUUACCUAAAAUUUUUU